rnacentral:rRNA from 1 species
UACAGAGGGUGCGAGCGUUAAUCGGAAUUACUGGGCGUAAAGCGCGCGUAGGCGGCUUUGCAAGUCGGGUGUGAAAUCCCCAGGCUUAACCUGGGAACUGCGUCGGAUACUGGAUGGCUUGAAUUCGGGAGAGGGAUGCAGAAUUCCAGGUGUAGCGGUGAAAUGCGUAGAUAUCUGGAGGAACACCAGCGGCGAAGGCGGCACUCUGGGCUGGAACUGACGCUGAGGAGCGAAAGCGUGGGUAGCAAACAGG